GCUGUAACCCAAGCCUGAGGGGUGCUGGGGACUUAGGGAGGGAAGCUGGGCUUUCAAACUGCUGUAACCCAAGGAAGAAAAUCAUCAGCCUAUAUGCCUUUCACAGCAUUUGAAGGCAAAAUGAGAGAAAGAAAAAUGCUCAUUUUCAGCUGCAGUAGAUCCAAGUAGAUCCGAAAUGAAAUCCAGCCCCCAAAUACCUCCAGCUGGUGAAGGACUGGGAGCUCACCAGGAUGGGGUGAUGAUGGAAGAAAACAUGAAUAUUAACAGCUCAGCACCUGGAGUCAUCAGCCAAGAUUGCAGGCCCCUCACAAGAGGUGAUGGCCAAAAAAACGGCGAGAUCCAACCAGCUCCCUGUCCCCAUGGGCACAGCCAGCAGGGAAGGAGCAUUGUGGGGACAGACUGGGGUGGUCACUGUCAAGCCUGGAGCAGAGGGAGGAAGGGUUGGGGCUGCCCUGAGCCCAGGCAUCUCUGUGACCCAGGUGCAAACACCUGGGUCCUGUAGGCUCUUCAGCUCUGGCACGUGUGCUUUCAAAAUCCAUUCGACUGCCUGCAUACAGACAAGUGUUCAAACAGCUUCAUCUCCAUCCCUGUGGGCCCCAAGGCACAGCACUGGGUAUCACCUGUUCAGCUCCUCCACAUGUUAUACUGAGGUCUGCAUCCUGCAAAUGCUUCUUCACAGGAAUGGCAAAGACCAAGUUGUCUCAAUAUAAAUCUUGCUGUAGUAGAUUUGUAUCAGUCCAUUCAAUAUCUUUACAUUCUUGGGGUUUUCUUGGCUUAUUGGCCCCUCCCAUUGCAUAAUAAAGAGUGUGCAACUGUUUUUUUUUUUUUUUUU
rnacentral:lncRNA from 1 species